rnacentral:rRNA from 10 species
CCUGGCGGCACUAGCGCGGUGGUCCCACCUGACCCCAUGCCGAACUCAGAAGUGAAACGCCGUAGCGCCGAUGGUAGUGUGGGGUCUCCCCAUG